GGGCCUGUAGCUCAGUGGUUAGAGCGGCCGGCUCAUAACCGGUUGGUCGCAGGUUCAAAUCCUGCCGGGCCCA
rnacentral:tRNA from 2 species